rnacentral:rRNA from 1 species
UACGUAGGGGGCAAGCGUUGUCCGGAUUUAUUGGGCGUAAAGAGCGUGUAGGCGGCUAGGUAGGUCCGUUGUGAAAACUCGAGGCUCAACCUCGAGACGCCGGUGGAAACCAUCUAGCUAGAGUCCGGAAGAGGAGAGUGGAAUUCCUGGUGUAGCGGUGAAAUGCGCAGAUAUCAGGAAGAACACCCGUGGCGAAGGCAGGUCUCUGGGCCACUACUGACGCUGAGGAGCGAAAGCGUGGGGAGCGAACAGG